rnacentral:rRNA from 1 species
UCCCGCCGGACCUGACUGCUAUCGGAUUGAUACUAAGCCAUGCGAGUCAUUGUAGCAAUACAAGGCAGACGGCUCAGUAACGCGUAGUCAACCUACCCUAUGGACGGGAAUAACCUCGGGAAACUGAGUAUAAUGCCCGAUAGAACAUUAUGCCUGGAAUGGUUUAUGUUCCAAAUGAUUUAUCGCCAUAGGAUGGGACUGCGGCCUAUCAGUUUGUUGGUGAGGUAAUGGCCCACCAAGACUAUUACAGGUACGGGCUCUGAGAGGAGUAGCCCGGAGAUGGGUACUGAGACACGGACCCAGGCCCUAUGGGGCGCAGCAGGCGAGAAAACUUUGCAAUGUGCGAAAGCACGACAAGGUUAAUCCGAGUGAUUUCUGCUAAAGAAAUCUUUUGCCAGUCAUAAAACCACUGGUGAAUAAGGGGUGGGCAAGUUCUGGUGUCAGCCGCCGCGGUAAAACCAGCACCUCAAGUGGUCAGGAUGAUUAUUGGGCCUAAAGCAUCCGUAGCCGGCUUUGUAAGUUUUCGGUUAAAUCCAUGUGCUCAACGCAUGGGCUGCCGAAAAUACUGCAUGGCUAGGGAGUGGGAGAGGUAGACGGUACUCAGUAGGAAGGGGUAAAAUCCUUUGAUCUAUUGAUGACCACCUGUGGCGAAGGCGGUCUACCAGAACACGUUCGACGGUGAGGGAUGAAAGCUGGGGGAGCAAACCGGAUUAGAUACCCGGGUAGUCCCAGCUGUAAACGAUGCAGACUCGAUGAUGCAUUGGCAUAAUAGCCAGUGCAGUGUCGCAGGGAAGCCGUUAAGUCUGCCGCCUGGGAAGUACGUACGCAAGUAUGAAACUUA